AGAAACAGUUUAUAAACACAGAGAGAUGGACAAACAGAGGCAACAGGGAGUACAGGAAGUCUGUCUAGUCAGAUGUGCCAAAAAAAAAGCAGAAGCAGAACAGCAACCGGACAGUUAUGGGAUGGAAACAGAAAACCUUGAAACUUCAGCUGACAGAAUCUGCAGAUAUUUCAGAAAGCAAAAGUGGGGGUGCUGUUGUGCCAGAUAUAUUUACAGACAAAAGAGACCAAAGGACACAUCGAGACCUUGUAAGAAGAAGGUUCUGUCGGUGCCAAGCAUUUUUCUAACAUACUGAACGUCAAAGAUAGCACUAUUAUUUUAAUAGAGUAUGUUGCUUCAGCUGCAAGAGCGACGCACACACACGCCGAAAAAGACAGACGAAGAAGAAAAUAAAAAAGAGAGAGGGAG